UGCCCGGUGGUGCAAUGGUAGCACAGGGGCCUUUGGAGCCUCUGAUCAUGGUUCGAAUCCAUGCCGGGCAGCCA
rnacentral:tRNA from 1 species